rnacentral:lncRNA from 1 species
AUGCGAGUUUCUAACUUGUCCUGGAAAUGGUCAAAUAAAAAACUAUGGACACAUGUGGCUCUACUGCAUGGAAAUGAAGGCCAGGUGUGCCUUCAGAGCAAUACAAGUGUGUCUUCACCCAAAUACAGGUGUGCCUUCAGAGCAAUACAGGUGUGCCUUCAGAGCAAUACAGGUGUGUCUUCAGAGCAAUACAGGUGUGCCUUCACCCAAAUACAGGUGUGCCUUCAGAGCAACACAGGUGUGUCUUCAGAGCAUUACAGAUGUGCUUUCACCCAAAUACAGGUGUGCCUUCAGAGCAAUACAGAUGUGCCUUCAGAGCAAUACAGGUGUGUCUUCACCCAAAUACAGGUGUGCCUUCAGAGCAAUACAGGUGUGCCUUCAGAGCAAUACAGGUGUGCCUUCACCCAAAUACAGGUGUGCCUUCAGAGCAAUAGAGGUGUGCUUUCAGAGAUUUAAUCCAAGUAUGCAAAAUCACAAGGGCUAUAUAUAGGUUUGCAUCUUGAGGACUGCAGUGAAACGAGGACAUUGGUGUCACAACUGGAAAGUUAGGGUGAAUUAAUUCAGGCCAGAGAACAGGUAGGAGUGUGGAACAGGCUUCCCAGCCAGGUGGUUGAGGCCCAAACUCUGGGCACCAUUAAGAAACAGCUGGAUCAAAGACCCUGCUUCUGUUCUUAAGAGAAAGGAGAAUGACUUGUAAGGAUUUGAUGUUUAUGGGAACAGGAGAGCUGGAAUGCCAGAUCUUCUGGGAUUUCCCCAAUCUUUUUACUAAAUGCCAGGUUGUAAAUAAGCAUGUAAUUAUGGUACCAAAAUGUGAUCUACGGUGUCUUAAGGGAAAAUUAAAUCUUGGAAGUCCGUGGAGAGGCCAGACGUUCCUAAAGUGGACGCCAAGUUACAGGAGUGUCGGGUUUAAACCAAUGUGACAGUGAUCAGUAAACAACAGCCGAAAUAAAACUGUCUGGCGAGCUGGACAGAUCUCUCGUGCUGGAGGGUGGAAAGAGAUUUUACCUCAAACCACACAAGAGCAUUUCUACCACAGAUCAGUGAUGCACAGCUCUAGUCCUGACGGGCCUGUGCUGUCCCCAGGUUCUUGCUCCAUCUUUGCCCUUACUGAUUUCAAGAUGAACAUCACUGGACGCAUUUAACACUUUUCAAAGGCCUCCAAGCUGUUGGUGGUCUCAAGAGACCUGGAAAACACACUGGAUUCUGGCCUCCCAGGACUGGAGCCUGCAACUCUGCUGCAGCCCUUCACAAACGGGAGAGGAUAAUUUUGCUCAACAGCACUGUACUGAAAACCCCUCGCUUUACCAAACUAAUAGAGGCAAAGGGGGGUCCGGUAUUGCCAGCUGCACGUUAAAGUACCACUGAGAUAUCCACCCAUCCCUUUUCUAACCAGUUUAUCCAGUCAGGGGUUCCGGGGGAACCAGAGACUAUUCUGGCAAGCAGCAGGCACAAGACAGGAUCCACCCUGGACGGGAUCCCAGUCCAUUGCAGUGCACAUGGACACACCGGGUCCAAUUUCCCCAAUUAACCCACCAGCAUGUCUUUGGACUGUGGGAGGAAACCAGGGCACCAGGAGGAAACCCAUGAGAAUGUGGGGAGAACAUGCAGACUCCUCACAGACAGCACCCCAGGAAAUGAACCCCGGACUUCAGAGCUGCGAGUUGGAAAUUCUAACCACUCUCCCACCACUGGAAAAUGAUCGGGCCCAAACAACACAAUUGCAUGGGCUAACAAAUUCUACUGUAUACAGAAUCUAUAUACGCUUUCUGAAUCCAACCAUGUCCAGCUGCUUCAUCCUCACUUUCUCUGUGGUUUUGUGAUAAUCAGCAUCUUCAGACUCUUCGAACUCUAAAGCAGGAUCAGGGUUGUUAAGCAAUUUUGUCCAUGCAUCCAUUUUUCUAUUUUUUCUACUGCCUUCCAGGCAGACGUUAAAGAACCACGGUCCUCUCCGCGAAGCCGUCCAUGCCCAGGGCAACAGUGCAGUGGUGCCCCUUGACCGCUACAGGGUCAUGCCCUCCCUUGUCAGGGCUCUGCCGCCCUGACCAGCCCUGUGCCCUCUUCAGACAGUCCCCCGGCUUCAGCGCCAGUGCCAACGCCCGUCCCUCGCGGGCCUGUCUGUUCCUUGGUCACUGUUGUGCGGGACGCUCGGUCUUUACCGUGUGUGCCAGGGCGUCAGCGUUGGCGUACACUGGGUGGGUGUGCCCAGCCCCGCGCAGCUGGCGGAAGGGGUCGUCGAUGUACGUGUUGGGGGCCGGGAACCUGCGAUCCAGGAGACCCCUGGGGAAGUAAAGCAGAUCAGGUGAGCGGGGGCGCGCAGAGCCCUGCUCAGACGGCGGCCUGCCCUGAGCCUGCUGCACUUAGCAGAGAAGCCCCUUCCUCACACUCCAAGCCCAUAAAUGACAUUAAAACUGUGCCAAGCUACUCUGCAGUGAGCAUCCUGAACUAUCUGUGUGUUUUUUCCUGGCCUUCCCCCUGCUAGACCAGGACACUGCCCUGGAAAUUGUUUGCACAGUGUGUAAUGGUGUAUUUCUCUAAUUGACGAUUGCCAUGGUCAAUCAUG